GAGGGUAUAGCUCAGUGGUAGAGUGUGUGCUUAGCAUGCACAAAGUCCUGGGUUCAAUCCCCAGUACCUCCA
rfam:Camelus ferus unplaced genomic scaffold scaffold1599, whole genome shotgun sequence.